AGCCAGACUCCUACGGGAGGCAGCAGUGGGGGAUAUUGCACAAUGGGGGAAACCCUGAUGCAGCGACGCCGCGUGGGUGAAGAAGCGCCUCGGCGCGUAAAGCCCUGUCAGCAGGGAAGAAAAUGACGGUACCUGAAGAAGAAGCCCCGGCUAACUACGUGCCAGCAGCCGCGGUAAUACGUAGGGGGCAAGCGUUAUCCGGAUUCACUGGGUGUAAAGGGAGCGUAGACGGCAGUGCAAGUCUGAAGUGAAGGGCGGGGGCCCAACCCCCGGACUGCUUUGGAAACUGUGCUGCUGGAGUGCAGGAGAGGCAAGUGGAAUUCCUAGUGUAGCGGUGAAAUGCGUAGAUAUUAGGAGGAACACCAGUGGCGAAGGCGGCUUGCUGGACUGUAACUGACGUUGAGGCUCGAAAGCGUGGGGAGCAAACAGGAUUAGAUACCCGCGUACC
rnacentral:rRNA from 1 species